UUACUAGUCACUAAUUAAUCAUACAACCCAUAAAUGAUGCAUCUGAAGCUAGCCCAGUACACCCAGCGCGGCGCCAGCCUUCAGCUCUGGAUCCUACCGCGAACGGCGCGGCCGGGCGGAGCGCCGGCGCCGCCACUAAACACGGUCCCGUACCGUCUGGUGGCAGGUCCUCGGGCUGUCCAGGCAAGAGCAAGGUGAAUGUUAUUCAUUCUAAUCCGUGUACUGCAAACUUUUUCCUUUGUGUCCACUGUAAAAGUUGAAGGAUGAGUGCGUCUCAACUCAAGUGUAUACAUUGAUUCAGUGUUGUACUAUUAGAUUAGCUCGUCACCUUCAGUAACUGCUACAGGCAGAGCUAUAUGUAUCCCUGUUCUGAACUUGGAUGAAUUCAAGUCAACCGUUCAUCUUGUGUUCUGAACUUAAGAUUUUAUCAGUGUGUGGUUUCCUUGAAAAAAUGUGUGGUGGUUUUCUCCCCGCGCCGAUGCGGCGGCCCGCGCAUUGGAGACACGAGCAUCACCAUGGUUUGCUGCAGAAUCUGAAACCAACCAAUUAGAACCUGAAACCUCAUGGUCAACUCAGUCUGAAUAAUAUUGUCUUGUACUACUAUUCGUAAUUUUGGUCAUGUUUAUCUAUUUUGAUUUCUAGUUCUACAUAGCUGUGCAAGUGAGCUAUAGUUGUUUAUUCUGUGAUAUGGGAUACUUUUCUGGUUAGUUAUAAGCAAUGAACAUUUAGCCCGGCUUGCUUGAUCCUGGCUCCACCAAUAAUAUAUAUAGCUAUCUUGCUUAACUUUUCAUCAUGUAUGAUAAAAAUGUGAGGCUCUAGUUAGAUCUCUUCUCUGAACUUCAUUGCCUCAUGGGAUGCAGUGGUCUCUCUGAUUCCAUAAGCUGUAAUCAAUCAUAUCCAAAACACAAAUUAUUAUCCCCACUUCUGUCCCUGUUUAUUUUCUUGGAUUUAAAAAAUGGAUUGAUAUCUUAUCCACCAAUAUAUCAUUCUGUAAGCUGUAAUCAAUAGUAUCCAAAUGGAAUGGGACCUUUCUUUUAUUUGAAACUUCCAAAUCAAGGGUUUUCCUUGAAAUAUAUUCACGGUGGUGUAAGUGAUUUAGCUUUUGAACAGAAAUUUUUACAAGGUUCUGGUUGCUUUGACAACACAAUAUGUUCUACUGUACAUUAUAUUUCCAAAUCUAUAUAAUUUAGUUUGAGAAAGUAACUUAAGGAGGUGUAUCCCUCUUUAUAAUUCCUCUACACUACUCAAUCGCUAUCUGCCUCUAAUUAUUAUAGUGACAUCACUUAUGGGUGCGGCGCUAAAUUCUUGAGAGCCUGCUCUAAUCAUCAUACUUUCCAUCCCUCCGUUCAGGUGUAUUACUGUUUCUGAACUAUCAGGCACAAAGUAUGCCGAGCCUUGUUCAUCUGGUGAUUACUGUAUUGGAAUCUGAAGGAUAUUUAGCCUUGUCAUCAUGAUGGCCGUCAUCUUCCUUUUUCCUGAAUAUUAUGACCAGCUGAUUAAAGCCUGAAACUGAAGCUUGAUCUUACUUAAAAUUGAGCACGGCCUAAUUUUUAUGCUGCAGUCAGGCCUUGGAUAGAAAAUAAACCUGUUAUCCAGGUGAUAUUUCACUAUAUUAUUUUAGUUAUGGAAAUGCACAUUCACGGAUUAUAGUUGCGUUUCUGUUUACUGAAUUUUGUUCUGCUGUUUUUUUUCAAUAUCGCUCAUUCUGUUGGCAUGUUUACUCAAAUGUGCCUAAUGUGGUGAGAUCCGGCCGGGCGGCGCCUCGGUCCAGGGCCGGCCCUGGGGGUAUGGCCGGGGGGCGACGGCCUAAGGCCCAGGCCGGAGGGGGGCCCAUGAUGAAGUAGAUAAGGAAAAAUAAGGACCAUCAGAUAGAGCUAGUAGCGAUUAGCGAAGCGUCAGUCACUACGCGAGACGAAGGCACAGCGCCACAGCCGCUCCUUUCGCUUGUGUGAAAUAAAUCAGACAAGAUCUCAUCGACUCGUAGUUUCGCUAAUUAGCUCGUGCCUUAGUUGCUCGUCGGUUCGUCUUCUUGUUCGUCCUCUUCUCGAUCGUCGGCCUGUCGCUCGGCGCCUUGGCCGCCGCUGGUUGUCACGGCUACGCGUGCCGUGCAUUAGUCCGGCCAUCUGGCAUAUCCAGCAAGGAGGUAAUACACUAUACGCUUGUGAGCCGUGAGCGCACCACGUUCCUGAUCCACCACCCAAACCCCAAUUUUUAGUAGUUUUUUGUUUUAUUCUUUAGUACAUGGAGUAAUUUCAGUGUAUAAUUUUCUAAUAAAAUCUUUCACAAUACGUAACCACCCUAUUUUUUUAUCAUUCUGCGUGCUUGUCUAGAGUUCCAAUCAUCCGAUGUAUAAAUUUCCGACAUUACCAUGCCAUGUUGCCUAAAAAGGCAUUUGUCAGUUACUGAAAAUAGGAGAAAAAAGAAAGAAAGUGAUCCGAAAAUUCGAACACUGAAGGGUUCUUCGAAUUUGGUCCUUCUUUGAGGUUAUCAUGUCAUGUUAGUUUCAUUUUAGUAUAUUUUUAGUAUUUUUGUCAUAAUAUGGCUAUCCAACAAUUAUUAUAGUCAUCAAAUCUCAGACUAAAGAUGUUUAUGUAUCACACACACACAUACAUAUAUAAGUAUGAUCUUAGGACAUAGGGGCCAUGUCGUCGAGUUCGCCUAGGGCCUCCUGAAACAUAGGGCCGGCCCUGCCUCGGUCUGUCCUGUCACGGUAGAUCUCGCUGGUGUAGGGUAGAUGUUGAUCCGCCGUGGCAAUUCAUAGAUGUAGAGACGCACGGGGAGCACAUGAGCAUGGUUUGGCUCCUGUGACGGACCCCAUCCGGUCCAGAAGCUUCCAGGUCUAGCGUAUUGGCGUGAACGGCGUCUCUUUCAGAAUGUAUGGAUACUUUCUGGUCGCUUGCCCCGUUGUACAUUAUUGUUCCCUUUUUAAGGAUACAUUCACCUAGUUCCUGUUUUUUAUGGCUUUUGUUCUGUUUGUUUACAGAUCAAGUCUGUCAUUGCCUUUACCAUGUGUCUUAAAGCUUUUGGUGGUCUCCUUUUCAUCAUCAGCAGCUAGUUCGGAGCGGUCGUACUGGUGCAUACUCUUCUUGGCAUGCACUAUAUCUAGAAUUAUGUUAUGUUAAAGGGGCAUCUAGAUGCAUACAGUUAUGGCUGCCAUUAAAUGCAUGUCUUCUCAAACUAUUUAAAAGGAACUGUUGUUGUCG
rnacentral:lncRNA from 1 species